UACGGAGGGAGCUAGCGUUGUUCGGAAUUACUGGGCGUAAAGCGCGCGUAGGCGGCUUUGUAAGUUAGAGGUGAAAGCCCGGGGCUCAACUCCGGAAUUGCCUUUAAAACUGCAUCGCUUGAAUCCGGGAGAGGUGAGUGGAAUUCCGAGUGUAGAGGUGAAAUUCGUAGAUAUUCGGAAGAACACCAGUGGCGAAGGCGGCUCACUGGACCGGUAUUGACGCUGAGGUGCGAAAGCGUGGGGAGCGAACAGG
rnacentral:rRNA from 1 species